CCAGUAGGCUCCGCUGUGGCGUGGGCGCCUCAGGAACAGCCCUGGCGCCUACUCGGAAGCGCCGGGGCCUCUGGCCAGGCGGCGCUUCCCUCCGAGGCCCGAUGCUGCCGGGAGCCCGCGGAGGCUCCACGUGCGCGUCUCCCCGCACGCCGAGCGCGCGCACGCCCGCGCGCCCACGCCCGCGAGCCCGCCCGCGCCUUCGCGGAGGGACCUGGGAGUGAAGCGCCGGACUGGGCCUGGGUCGCACAGAUGGAUUAUGUAGCUGCCCCAGAUCGUACCUGCACUCCUAUUUACUAGAAAAAUGCAUGUGAGAUCUGAAGGAGAGAUAGAGUGAGGAGUUCUAACUAGAGAGCGAGAAAGAAAGGGGACAAGUAGGAGCGGCAGGCAG